CGCUGCGUUAAGACCCAGGGCUGCCGGGAAUUGGUGUCAGUGUGGCCUCCGGGACGGCCAGCGGCCUCAGGAAUGGGAUAGGCGGGACUUCGACGCCAUCCAACAACCCAUUGUCCCACAGGCUGCAUAAGAUCCUGGCGACGAGGCGGGACAACCACAGGGUAACCGGGCCGCGCGGCUGCGUCCAUCUGGCGGCGCUGUCAGCAGGGGCGGAGCGGGAACUUGAAAGCAUAAAUGAAGUUGAUCUUAAAGCAAUGACCAACCGUUGACAAGAUAUGACAACUUGGCUGCAGGGCCAACGAAUUUUUUGACAAGGGUGCCGAGAUCAUUCAUCAAUAAAAGAAUAGUGCUGAGGCAGCCGGGUAGCCACAUGGGAAGGAACAACGUUGGACCCUUCCCCUACAGCAUAUUCAAAAACUAGCCCCAAAGGGAUCAAAGACUUAAAUUUGAUGAAGAAAAAGAAGUAUAUUCUGCAAACCUGGGUGUUAAGCACAGCUGUAGGGAAAGGAACAUGAUGUUUCUGACCUGUGUGAUGCAAAACACAAGUUUUCUUUCAGACAGCAUCAUGAGAUGCUCUAGAAAACAUUCUUCAUCUUUUUAUUCCCAGUGUUUAUUAUAGAGUCUGAUCUCUAACUGAGCGGCAGACUGGACUGAAAGGGGAAGCAGUCAAAAGUGAAAGCCGAAUGAGAGAUCCAGACCGUCUUAGAAACUGAGUUACAACAACUUACAACUGUGAGAUUUGUAAAAAGUGUCAACUUGAAAUUUUAUAAGAGAAGAAUUAAAAUUGUUUCCAUUGAUUAAGUAGUUCAGUUAAUUGUCAUGCUAUCAUUAGACAAUAAAAAUAUUAUGAUAUAUCAUAAUGACUUAGUCAAAAUUUUAGUCCACAUCAUUAUAUUUAUCAGUGAUAAUCUGA